rnacentral:rRNA from 1 species
CAACUUUCAACAACGGAUCUCUUGGCUCUUGCAUCGAUGAAGAACGCAGCGAAAUGCGAUAAGUAAUGUGAAUUGCAGAAUCCAAUGAAUCAUCGAAUCUUUGAACGCACCUUGCGCCCUUUGGUAUUCCGAGGGGCAUGCCUGUUUGAGAGUC